AAAUGCGAUAAUUAAUGUGAAUUGCAGAAUUCAGUGAAUCAUCGAGUCUUUGAACGCACAUUGCGCCCCCUGGUAUUCCGGGGGGCAUGCCUGUCCGAGCGUCAUUGCUGCCCUCAAGCACGGCUUGUGUGUUGGGCUUCCGUCCCUGGCAACGGGGACGGGCCCAAAAGGCAGUGGCGGCACCAUGUCUGGUCCUCGAGCGUAUGGGGCUUUGUCACCCGCUCCCGUAGGUCCAGCUGGCAGCAAGCCUCGCAACCAAUCUUUUUAACCAGGUUGACCUCGGAUCAGGUAGGGAUACCCGCUGAACUUAAGC
rnacentral:misc_RNA from 1 species